rnacentral:lncRNA from 1 species
UGCCCACCUCCCUCCUGGAUGCAUGUUCCUUGUUCCUCCGCCCGGCUCCUGCAGCUGCUUGUCCCAGGGGCGAGAGAUGGCCCCAAAGGUUUGGCUGUGGCACAGACCUGCCUGGCCAGCAGCACGCCGGGACCUGCCACCGCGUCCCACGCAGCCAGAGCUCGCCUAUCGGAGCUGGCCACGGGCUUGGAAGAUGCAGGAUCACCCCUCCUGUGCCUGUCACCCCAGCCACAGCCAGGGACCCGGUGUGAAGGACACACACCCCACCAGGCACUUAGGGGGCACAGUAAAAACCAUGGCCUCAGGCCCUCUGUUACUUGGACACAGAGGAUCCCACCGGUGUCUGUGCCAACCCAAUGUGCCAAAACAGUGUGUCAAUUUACCUAAGAGCAACUGUUUGGGCUACGGAGCUGCUAGGAAAAAACAUGAAGCCAGGGACUCCUCCAUAACAAUAGCCCAUGGGGCAGGAAUUUGCUCCUCACCAUACAGGGGCACAGUUUGCACCAGACGUGCGCCAGAGCACACACUGAGCCUUCAGUACGUCUCCUCCCUUCCUCCUCCUCCUCUUCCUCCUCCUCCUUCUUCCCAGCCCCCUCCCCCUGCAGCCUGCAAAAGCGCUGAGCUCAGCACAUCUCGGGCAGGGGCCCAGCCAAGGACCCUCCCCAAUGCCAGCCGCUCCCCCGGCUCCUGCUUAACCCUUUGCAAAGCCGGGCUGGAAAUCAGACCAAUCGACUCAAUCUCAUCCCAGACAGGCACAGCUGGCUGGGAACAGACUGUCCAGAAAGCCUCAAUCUCUGCUCUCCCAGAAAGGACAGCAGGUCAGGGGGAAAGACACGCUGCUCCUCCACAGCAACCACGCUGGGUUUACUGCCAGCAGCAGGACCAGGGCAGGGGAAGUGCAGGGAUUGCCAGCACUGUAGCUAAAACUUUGCUUUCCAGCCCAAAAUCAUUCCUAGAGGCCCUGCUACAGAGGAGUGGCCUGGAUCUCAGCUUCUUUUGGGAAGCAGAAGGAGCUGCCAGCCCCACAUUGCCUCCCCUCCCAGCUGGAUUAUUUUAUUGCAGGGAUCAAAAAUUACAUUUCCCUUUAAAACUUGCUAUUGCACCAGAGCUGCUUGCUUUGCUGCCUACCAGGAGAUGUUAUGGCAAAGAAAGAAAAAUAUUUAUGCUUGCCUCUAGAAUUCCAGCUUAUUUUUAGCAAGGUGCCUUCCCUGUGGUCCUUUACCUCUUUUUUGUUUAUUUGCUGCUUUCCCCCUGUUUUGACCCCCCAAACCAGC